UACCUGGUUGAUCCUGCCAGUAGUCAUAUGCUU
rnacentral:rRNA from 21 species